GGGAACGUAGCUCAGUGCUACAGCACUUGCCUAGUAUGCACGAGGCCCUGGUUUCAAUCCCUAGCAUUGCCA
rnacentral:tRNA from 1 species